rnacentral:rRNA from 1 species
AUGGAAAAAAUGAAGGACGCGCCGGUACCAGAAGGUGAAGAGCCAAAGUCUACUGUACGAAUUGUCGAAGAAGUGCUGUUGAAAUCUGUCAAGCAAAGCACAUUCCUCACAAAUGUUGGGCUCCAGUCAUCUAGGAACAACUCCCGCAAAGCAACUGCUGAAGUGGCUGCUCAUGUUCGUGACCUUGAGCAGAAGCUGGAGAGGUCCGAGCUGAACUGGUGCAAGAAGAAUUGGAGGCAAUCAAGAUGA